UUUAUUUUCAUGUUCUUCCUGCUUUUAUCAUCAUGUUUGUUUGUUUAUUUUAUUUAUUUUUUUUCUUUAAAUAUUCAUUUUCUAACCCAUUAUGGAUAUCUGUAUUUUGUUGUUGUUGGGUUGGGUUGAUGUUACUUGAGAGAAGCUCUACACCCGAGCUUGAUUAUACAUAUAAGAUAGACUUGUGGAUAGUUGUGUUGACCUUCAUUUCGUGCAUUGGGUUGGCACGAGAC
rnacentral:lncRNA from 1 species